AGCAAAACAAGGGAGCACCGAGAGGACUAUAGAUUGUGCGCAGCCUGGCCAGUAGAGGGAGUUGCCUGUGAGUCGAUCACCUCUGACACUGUUUUUAUCCCCACAGGAAAGAGGGCAAUAACGAUUGUGUCGGGUUGCAACGCGGCUUUUAUUUUCACGGGAUUUUCGGUCUCGGUUUUGCGCGCGUAUUGCUCUCUCUCUUUCUCUGUUUGUGCUUCGGCUGUUUGUUUGGUGCCCGCUUCUGUGAGUCGUUGCCUUUCCCGCCCACCACCUCCUACCCCUUUCCUCCGUCCCCGGGUGUUCACAUUCGUGGCGUCUGCUCGUCGCUGCUUGACUCAGCAUCCUUCUGUCAUGCGUUUGCGACCUGCGGGUGCUCUGCCACUGUUCUCAGCGUUCUCUUUUUUGGUGUAUAUCGCGUUCUCGAGUUCCGCCUCGUUUCCUGCGGCACGGUCGCCAAGGGCCUGCGCAUGUCUGUUGGGCCCAUAGUCCUCGUAAACACAGUGACUCUGACAAGUCGCUUACUCAAGCACGCACCAGCAUUUUUGAGCUUCAAUCACGUCUUUCGGCUACUUUUUCCUUUUAGUGUGUAGUUUGGCUUGAAGGUGUCUGCAUCAUUUUUCUCUCUCGGAGACUCGCUCCCAAGCACGCGCCAACCAGUCAGUGGCAGAGAUCCUAGUGGAAGUAGUGCCACCCACCUGUACAGCGAUGGCCACGAGCCAACACGUACCGGUGGAAUUCAGCCUUCUUCGCUACAGCACAGGCGACGCUCUCCACUUUGUCUUUCAGAAUGGUGUUCGCCGUCAAGGGAACGAGGGGGGAGCGUCUCCGCUACCGGGGCUUUCAAAGGUUGUGGAACUGCAGGAAAAGCAGGCCGUCCGCGACAAGCUGCACACGUGCGGCACCACGGACGACCCCCUCAAUCUGGAGAAUCUCACGCAUAUCGGCACCCAUGAAGAGUGGUGUGCGCACUCCCAGACUGCGUGCGCGCUGGCCAAGAAUGCGGUGGCGCAAUGCUUGCAGCGCCGUUCGGAGGUGCGAGUGCGCCGCUACGGCGAGGCGGUGAUGCGACUGUCCGAGGCCUCCCCCACGCUUUGGGACAGGGAAGGACAGGCCCGCGCGACUGCUGCAGACACUCCGUAUGCGACCACAGCCCUUUCGACCCCGUCCCGCACGUCGUCGGCGCAGGACCACACGCGAUCCGCAGUCAAGGCGGACAAUUCAGCAGAGGCGGAGGCGCGCCUCAAUACGGAUGACGAGGCGAGCGACGUAGCGGAGGAGGAAGAGGAGGAGGAACUCGAGACGUACCUCCUUCAGCAUCCCGCCUUCGGUGCGGACAUGGCUGCAGCGUGGCUGCAGCGCCGCUACCUGCGCUGCUGCAACGUCAUUAACGUCCGCCCCAGCGCCGCUGUUUGCCACCGAUUCUCGCGGGGCGUGCAAGCUACCCUAAUUAGCACCCUCGGCUCCUUCGCGGCGCAAAAGGCGGUGCCUCCGCUGUCGCCCGUUGCUGAAACGCCCACGCCGUUUCGCUGCAGCCCGGGCAGGCGCACCUGGAUGUCCUUUCCAGGGACAAUGGUGCUUCUGCGCGAACUGCGCACCGUUCCGUACGAGGUGAACGCGGACUUCAGUGGAUGCGCGGAGAUCGGGCAUCAGCAGCGCCAUUUCAUCGCACUGCUUGGCGUUCUUGAGGGAUGCCGGAACACCGUUGUCUCACUCAAUUUGGCAAAGACCUGCCUCAACGAUGACGAGGUUCGGGUGCUGUGUCUUUUCUGCCGCGCCUACCUGCGCCGACUGCAGGUGCUGGACUUGAGUGGCAACAAAAGCAUCACGGACAAAGUGGCUGUGUGGAUCAAGCAACUGGCAGCCUCGUCGCCGCUGCUGUUCCGCUUGGCUGUGCGAGGGACUUCGCUGAGCCGCUCCACUAUGCGAUCGGUGGCGGGCAUUUUAUGCCGCAAGGCACUGUGAAUCGACUCAGAAGCUCAGCUCAGCUCGCCGCCUCUAUAGAUCCAGCGCUGCGCGAUACGUUUAGGUGCCAUGUGCUCCUUCGAUGGGUCUUGCCCCUCCCUUUGUGUCUCCUUUUUUUUCCCGGAGACACACACACACACAUCUCCAAGAGUCUUUCUUUUCUUUUAUCUCUCCCCCUCGCGCAGUCGACCUGCUAGAUCAUGGAGCUUCUACGCUUUUCUUUGAUAUGGCACUGGAGAGAGCCGGAUACGUCAUCCACGCAUCCGUAUACUCAAAAGCUUCUUUGACCCCCUUGCUAUCUUCAUCUCAGGUGUGUCUGCGGCCAUGCUUCUAGGUUUGCCUCUGUGAAUGCAUGUGCCUUGUCAAAAUCACGGCGCACCUCAUUGGUAAACAUCUUGUUCCAGUCAGUAGGCCAGAAUCCUUCGCCCCUGCUUCUCCCGUUUUGUUUCCAUAUCCGCGAGCGGUAGAGCGAGAGGUCAGAGGUCGUUCGCACGCUGCUGGGCCUUGUACGGACUGGGCAAGUGGCCGCUGUCGAUGAAAACGCGUCAUGCCGUCUCCUGAGGGCCCAGGGGCAGGGCCGCGAGGUGCGCGUUCUCAUGAUCCAGCAGCCCACCCCCUCCUUGCCAGCAUGGCCUCUGGCGCCUAUCCUGUCCUCUGCUUGCACAGCGUGGCAGCUGCAAUGCACACGCCCCUCUCGCUCCCUGCACUCUCUCCUCCCCUCUCUUCCUGCAG
rnacentral:misc_RNA from 1 species